ACGUACACUCCUGCGGGAGGCAGCAGUGGGGAAUAUUGUACAAUGGGCGCAAGCCUGAUGCAGCCAUGCCGCGUGUGUGAAGAAGGCCUUCGGGUUGUAAAGCACUUUCAGCGGGGAGGAAGGCGAUACGGUUAAUAACCGUGUUGAUUGACGUUACCCGCAGAAGAAGCACCGGCUAACUCCGUGCCAGCAGCCGCGGUAAUACGGAGGGUGCAAGCGUUAAUCGGAAUUACUGGGCGUAAAGCGCACGCAGGCGGUCUGUCAAGUCGGAUGUGAAACCCCCGGGCUCAACCUGGGAACUGCAUUCGAAACUGGCAGGCUUGAGUCUUGUAGAGGGGGGUAGAAUUCCAGGUGUAGCGGUGAAAUGCGUAGAGAUCUGGAGGAAUACCGGUGGCGAAGGCGGCCCCCUGGACAAAGACUGACGCUCAGGUGCGAAAGCGUGGGGAGCAAACAGGAUUAGAAACCCCAGUAGUCCCAUG
rnacentral:rRNA from 1 species